GGUCGGAGCAGAGCCUUGUGGCUCCCAGCAAGAGUUUCGUGUUUCCCUUCCAGCGGGUGUUGGCCGGGACAGCACGAAUGCCUUUGUCCCUGCUGGUUGCUCCAGAACUUGGAUUCCAUCCCUGGCCCGGCUCCAGAGACGCCGGCUGGUUUUCUCCAGCGGAAGAAGCUGUUCUUUCUGUGUCUGCAGAGGUCCUGUUGCAAGUACUGCGGUCGGGGUGGGUCUGGAAGGGCAAGCUGGAAUGAGCGGACGUUCCCCUUCCUUGGAGAGGUGCUGCUGGCUGCAGUGGAAAUGGCCUUGGGGCUAGAAGUCGCCCUCAUGGCCAAACCUGACCGCACUUGAGACUGAGAGAUACAGUCCAGCCGUGUGCCCAGGACAAAGAAGAAACGGCUCCGGGUUUGGAUCAAGGUGACCCGUGGGAAGUACAGUUCAAACUGGGACCUUACCACCAGGGAAAGAUGUCACCAUGGGACUCCAGGACAACAGGACAAACUAGAAUGGGGAUGAAAGGUCGUUUGAUUUCCGGGAGCAAGAGCAGGCAAAGGCAAGCAAACGAAAAUAUGUUUUCUUCUUUUCCUUGUUUUCUACAAAAACAAAACAAAACAAAACAAAACAAAAAAGGAAGGCACGGUGCACUGCCUUUUCUACUCCCUGGUUUUAUUUCUCCUCCUUUGCAAUAUCCCGGAGAUCUUUCAUGCAGAGAUCCCAUUUUGGAUGGUUGCUUUCUAGCUUUGCCACCAUGACACGUGGUGAACCUCGAUCUACUGAGCCAGUCCCGACGGAUGGACACGAGUUGUUUCAAUCGUUCACUCUCGCAAACAGUCGUGCGAGUCAUGCUGUGCAAACAUCAUGUUAGGGACACCUUCAAUAGUCGUAAAAUGAACGCCGAGGCGGUUAGCACCCUCGUAUGUGGGCGUCUCAAAUGAAUGCAUUGGAGGGUUUUCUCUCAUUUUGUGUUUUCUGGAAAUGAGAUCAGAUUAAAUAUACCCUUUUAAAAUUC